GGGGCAGUAGCUUAAUUGGUAGAGUCCUUACUUGUCACGUAAGUGGAUAUGGGUUCGAGUCCCACCUGCCUCG
rfam:Lichtheimia corymbifera JMRC:FST:9682, FST 9682, WGS project CBTN01000000 data, contig: SCAF00098